CUCGAAAGUCAUUAAUUAUGGUUCUCCUAGAGUAUGAUCCGCUUUACUUUGAAGAAAUAUGGACUAUUGAUUUCCUCUGCCCAUUGAGCACACCAAACACUGAGUGUUUGAUGAUGAUGUAACGGUAUUUCAACAAUGACUUGUGGAUUAUCAUCACUCUAAAUGCGACAAUUUUGUAUAUUAACGUACCCAUUCAACCAAAAGUGCGCUUCAGGUUGAGUAAAAUUUUCUUGUAAAAAUUGUGAACGGUUAUCAUUUCCUUUUGAACGUGCAACGCAAUAUUAUGCGCAAUGACGCAUGAACUCAUUGGAGUUCUUUUCGAAACUUAGCUCUACAGCAGCAGUAACUCGUAUUACCCACUCUGCUGGGUGAUUAUGGGGACCGACUGUUGCAGCCCGCGAAAUAAACCAUUAUUCAUGCAUUGCAAACGUUGUUCCGAACUAAUUAUUUUUAUUAUCAAAUGGCUAACCAAACUGAGGAUAGAUCAAGUAACAGUUGUCUAUUGUUUGUAUAUAAUCAUAGAUUCGAAAAGUUUAAACCUACUUCCCAUAUAUGCCCCGCUACGAAUGUUAACUCCGGUAAAUACAUACACAUGUUUCUCUAAAACAUUACUUACUUUUGUUGUGUUCAAAUCGCUUUUGCCUUCGAAGAAAUUUCGUUCAAUGAUAACACUCAAUCUAUUACUAUUCCAAAUUCUAUUACGUCUCUCGGUUGUUUUGACGUUUCUUUUUAUUUUGUACGGUACACUUUUUAAUGAUUUUGUACGGUAUUUUAAAAUAGCAAAAACAUAUUUUUUUUUACGUUGUAAAAUUUAAGUGCGUGUAAUAAUGUAUCUAAAUAUAUACAUACAUAAUAACAAUUCAUAAAUGAGCGUAAAUAAAACUGCGAAGUGAUACGGCUAAAGUGUUCAUUGUUUGCAAUGGAAUAGACCUUCGUAAGACUUCAAUGAACUUUGACGCCACCUUUAGUUAGUCAGCCAAUAAAGAUCAGCAGUCGACAUCAGCCAGGUCGUCUGGCAUUUUAAGGCCGUUAAUGAAGACUAGUAUAUGAACUUGCUGAUAUAUCAACAAGCACACACAUAUAUAUCUACACUUCUUUUAUUAAAAAAAAAAAUUCCAACUCACGUUGACGCAGACGCACAAAAGUUUUCCAUCACCUCAAGGCUGCGAAUGAAAUAGCAACACAAAAUAUGUCUUGUCAUGACAUACAUAUGUACUCGUAUGUUAAUCAGCCACAGAUCUUUGUCAAUGAGUAAGAAAUUAACAGUCAGAGAGGUGGACUGGCGUUGGUUGUCAUGAAAGCUUCAUUUGUGUGCAAAUAUUAUUACUAGGGUUCCUGAGUAAAUAUUAAACCGGUCUUGUUAAUUAGAGUAAUCUGACGAAGGAACGUGCAUGCUUCUUAAUAUCAUAAUAAAGUUUAAUCAAGGUACAGCAAUAAAAUUCAAAUUUCUUUAAGCUCAAGAGUUGCUAAAACCCUAUCCGCAUCUGGCUGUAUUGAUAUAAAGAUCCCAGUUUGAUGGCUAAUACUUAUAAAAGUAAGACUUUAGUAGAAGGUCUCAACAGCUGGCUGCAUAUGCCGAUAACAUUUAUAUCAUAGAACUUAAUAACCGCGCUGUUAGUUCUGCUUUGCCCAGACUAGACAAAGUAGCGAAUGAGUCUAGAAGUGAACGAGGACAAGACCUUAUAUCUCCUAUCAUCAAACAAACAGGCAGUGCACUUGCCUCUCAACACCCACAUUAUCAGCAUUAACACCAACAACAAUGUCAGCCUGGAAAUCCAACACAGAAGCAGUCUUGCAAACAGAUGCUAAUUUGAACUGAGUAGGCAAAACCAACCCCAAACUCUAUAAGCCUCUGAUCACUCCCGGCAUGCUACAUGGUGCAGAAGUGUGGACGAUGUCAACAACUGAAGAGUUUGCAUUAGGAGUUUGCAAGAGCUGAGCAAGAUAAACGGUAGUUCAGCAUAUAAAAAUAACGGCGGCGCUGUUUAGUAUAUGUCGUUCCGAAUCGGCAAAGUGAGUAUGAGUAUGAGUGUCGAUCAUCUUUUUACGGGUAUUUUGCUAAAUUUGUCGUAUGGUGAAUAUCUGAUCUUAGCUCAUUGACCAGCUAAUAGGGUUCUUCAUUCAAUUUGUUGAGGGUGAGAUUUAGUAUUUCACACUCUGCGCUCGAUUUGGCCUUUUGUGCAAUAAUUAAGAGGGUAGUCCCUCGGUAGUUGGCGCGAGCCGUGGGAUCUCCAUUUAAUAAAUUGGCGGAACACAUUCAUCUGGCAUGC